GAGUUUGAUCGUGGCUCAGAACGAACGCUGGCGGCAUGCCUAACACAUGCAAGUCGAACGGGAUCCAGACUUCGGUCUGGUGAGAGUGGCGGACGGGUGAGUAACGCGUGGGAACCUGCCCAAUGGUCUGGGAUAACCGCGGGAAACUGCGGCUAAUACCGGAUAAGCCCGAGAGGGGAAAGAUUUAUCGCCGAUGGAGGGGCCCGCGUCCGAUUAGGUAGUUGGUGAGGUAACGGCUCACCAAGCCGACGAUCGGUAGCUGGUCUGAGAGGAUGAUCAGCCACACUGGGACUGAGAUACGGCCCAGACUCCUACGGGAGGCAGCAGUGGGGAAUAUUGGACAAUGGGGGCAACCCUGAUCCAGCAAUGCCGCGUGAGUGAUGAAGGCCUUAGGGUUGUAAAGCUCUUUUGGCGGGACGAUGAUGACGGUACCCGCAGAAUAAGCCCCGGCUAACUUCGUGCCAGCCGCCGCGGUAAC
rnacentral:rRNA from 1 species